rnacentral:rRNA from 1 species
GACAGAGGUCCCAAGCGUUGUUCGGAUUCACUGGGCGUAAAGGGUGCGUAGGCGGUCGGGUAAGUCUGAUGUGAAAUCUCACAGCUUAACUGUGAAACUGCAUUGGAUACUAUCCGGCUCGAGGAAUGGAGGGGAGACUGGAAUACUUGGUGUAGCAGUGAAAUGCGCAGAUAUCAGGAGGAACACCGGUGGCGAAGGCGGUUCUCUGGGCAUGUCCUGACGCUGAGGAGCGAAAGUGUGGGGAGCGAACAGG